ACUGCCAUCUGUUGAGUAGUGUGGUAACUAUGUGUGGUGGCAGGUGGACGCUGAUAGUGUAUCACACCUCUUGAAAUGUAGUCUGGCAGGUGGAGGGUGUCACGGGUUCAAAAUGGUCUCAGGGUCUUGCUUAAACAAUAAUAGUAUGGAUUCGUACAAAUUACUGGACUUAUCUGGCUCAGACUCUGAAAAUGAAGUCAUACAUUUCGCUCCAAUGCCUGACAACCCUCCACCCCAAAGAAAGAAGAGAUUGAAAAGACGGGAGCGUGAUCUUCUGCGAGUGUCGCCUAGUCAGGUGGACGAGGAGUCAGGGCGGUGGUGUGGGUGUGUGGGCGUGGGCGUGGGUGCUCACGGCUGUCACUCGUGGAUAGCCAGUCCCGGGGAGGCUGUUCGAUCCGCACUAUUGUUGUUAGCACUCACAGGCCUCUCCCUGCUUACCUGGCUCGCGCUUCACCUUCAGGCUCGACUGGACGCAACUCAACACUUCAUUACAACAGGUAGGAGGUGUACUGGUGUGUCCUGCCCCCCACCUUCUCUCUCUCUCUCCUGGGAAGGCCAGCAGUGUGUGUGUUGACUCUCUGGUGUGGUGUCUGUGCCACAGCGCUACCAGAUCCUCCCUGUGUCGUGUUGAGGAGGCUGUGGCAGCGUCUCCUCCAGGCGUGGUUCCCGCCGCCGCCGUGCUGGCCAGCGGCUCCUCUCAGCCUCGUCUGGUUGAAAUUGAAAUUGAAAUAAGUUUAUUGAGGUAAAAUACACACAAAGGGAUGAGGUAGCUCAAGCUAUUCUCACCCCGUUUCGUCAUGUUUGUAGUUUAAUAGUAAGGUAAUUUGCGGAAUGUUGCGAGAAGUCUGUUGAUGCGAUUUUGUCUUUGAUAUCGAAAUGUUUCUAAUGUUUUUAACAGCUCUCACUCACUCACUCUAAUAUAAUGUAUGUGG